CCCCAAGCGGCAGUUCGCCCCGCGGCGAUGGCGGACACGGAAUCCCGAGGGCCACCAACUGUCCCUUAGGACCGACCCGAGAUGGUUGGACAGAGAGACUCUGAAGAUGUGAGCGAAAGAGACACCGAUAAAGAGAUGGCUGCUAAGUCAGCAGUUGUUCACGACGUCACAGAUGAUGGGCAGGAGGAGACGCCCGAAAUAAUCGAACAGAUUCCUUCUUCAGAAAGCAAUUUAGAAGAGCUAACACAACCCACUGAGUCCCAGGCUAAUGAUAUUGGAUUUAAGAAGGUGUUUAAGUUUGUUGGCUUUAAAUUCACUGUGAAAAAGGAUAAGACAGAGAAGCCUGACACUGUCCAGCUACUCACUGUGAAAAAAGAUGAAGGGGAAGGAGCAGCCGGGGCUGGCGACCACCAGGACCCCAGCCUUGGGGCUGGAGAAGCAGCAUCCAAAGAAAGCGAACCCAAACAAUCUACAGAGAAACCCGAAGAGACCCUGAAGCGCGAGCAAAGCCACACGGAAAUUUCUCCCCCAGCCGAAUCUGGCCAAGCAGUGGAGGAAUGC
rnacentral:sRNA from 1 species